GAAACAACAUAUGCUUAUCUCAAGUCUAAAAUUGAUUUUAUAAUUGCAAAGCUUGGUUUGAGUCUACAACAAGUGAGAGGACAAGGUUAUGAUGGAGCGAGCAAUAUGGCAGCCAUUGCAAAAAAGAUAUUUGAUGUUGGAGAUUUUUUUGAUAUGAUAUCAUUGUUGGUGACUGUCGUUGGAUCAUCUUGCAAGAGAAAGGAUAAACUUAGAGAGAACCAUCAAGAAUAACUAAGGAAAGCGAUUGGUAAGGGAGAGAUUGCUACAGGAUCAUGAUUAAACCAGGAGCUUUCUCUUCAGAGACCAGGUGAUACUAGAUGGAAUUCUCACUAUACCACUUUGUUGAGUUUGUCUAAGAUGUUUCCCUCUGUGAUAAAAGUACUAGAAUAUGUGGAGGAAGAGGGUUCAGAUGCUACUAAGCAACGUCAAGCUAGUGCUCUUUUAAAACAUUUCCACCCAUUUUAUUCUGCAUUCUUUCUACAUAUGAUGAUGAUUAUAUUAGCUUUAACAAAUGGGCUAUCAAAAACCUUUCAAAUAAAGGGUAUGGACAUUGUUAAUGCUAUAUCAGAUGUGGAAUCUAUUAAGCGAGAGCAAGAUAAGCUUAGAUCUGAGCAUGGAUGGAAUUCUCUCCUGAGCAAGGUACGUUCUUUUUGCAACAAGAAUGAUAUUUCUGUUAUGGACAUGGAAAAGGAGUAUGUAAAUCCAAAGAAGCCAAGGCAAAUGAUUGGCAUUAAUAAUGAGCAUCAUUAUCGGGUCGACUGCUUUUUUUUGCUGUUUUGGAUUAAUUGGUAG
rnacentral:rRNA from 1 species